CCUACGGGAGGCAGCAUUGAGGAAUAUUGGUCAAUGGCCGUAAGGCUGAACCAGCCAAGUCGCGUGAAGGAAGAAUGAUCUAUGGUUUGUAAACUUCUUUUAUAGGGGAAUAAAGGUAUCCACGUGUGGAUAUUUGCAUGUACCCUAUGAAUAAGCAUCGGCUAACUCCGUGCCAGCAGCCGCGGUAAUACGGAGGAUGCGAGCGUUAUCCGGAUUUAUUGGGUUUAAAGGGUGCGUAGGUUGUUUUUUAAGUCAGCGGUGAAAGUUUGUGGCUCAACCAUAAAAUUGCCGUUGAUACUGGCAGACUUGAGUGUGUUUGAGGUAGGCGGAAUGCGUGGUGUAGCGGUGAAAUGCAUAGAUAUCACGCAGAACUCCGAUUGCGAAGGCAGCUUACUAAGCCAUAACUGACACUGAAGCACGAAAGCGUGGGGAUCAAACAGGAUUAGAUACCCUUGUAGUC
rnacentral:rRNA from 1 species